UGUUGUUGUUGUUGUUGUUGUUGUUGUUGUUGUUGUUGUCGUCGUCGUCGUCGUCGUCGUCGUCGUUGCUGCUGCUGCUGCUCGGUUACUGCUGUUGUAGUGUUGUUGCUGUUGUAGUGUUGUUGCUGUUGUAGUGUUGUUGCUGUUGUUGUUGUUGUUGCUGUUGUUGUCGUCGUCGUCGUCGUCGUUGCUGCUGCUCGGUUACUGCUGUUGUAGUGUUGUUGCUGUUGUUGUGUUGUUGCUGUUGUAGUGUUGUUGCUGUUGUUGUUGUUGUUGUCGUCAUCGUCGUCGUCGUCGUCGUUGCUGCUGCUCGGUUACUGCUGUUGUAGUGUUGUUGCUGUUGUUGUGUUGUUGCUGUUGUUGUCGUCGUCACUGUUGUUGUUGUUGUUGUUGUUGUUGUUGUUGUUGUUGUUGUUGUUGUUGUUGUUGUUGUUGUUGUUGUUGUUGUCGUCGUCGUCGUCGUCGUCGUCGUUGCUGCUGCUCGGUUACUGCUGUUGUAGUGUUGUUGCUGUUGUAGUGUUGUUGCUGUUGUUGUCGUCGU
rnacentral:lncRNA from 1 species